CGGGGCGUAGCGAAGCCUGGUCCAUCGCGCCUGCCCUGGGAGCAGGAGAUCGCUGGUUCAAAUCCAGCCGCCCCGA
rnacentral:tRNA from 1 species